CGUGACUCCGCCCCCCGUGCGGUCAUCAGCGCACCUGUCGCAGGUGAGACAUAUUUGCUGAGAAUAAACAAUCGGCACGACACAGAACCUCCCAAACGCCACACAGCUGCCUUCCUCGCAGGAAUACAUAACAUUUGUGCUAACCUUCUUCUGCUGCUGCUCCCAUUAUGUGCUGACUGACAUCCUCUACUCACUACUGCCCCUAGCGGCAUGGCGCUUUCGAUGCUCUUCUUCUUCUCCGUGGCAUAUUGGCGGUUGGAAAGUCAACUUGAGGUGCAACAGCGCCACUAACUAGACUAGCGUGCGUGGACAACAUUACUUUCAUUAAAACUAUUGACAAAUUCUACCCAAGUAAAUGUUCAUUUUUUUCACAAUAAAAAAGUGUUGAUAAAUAAUUUAUGUUUUGAUUAUUUCAUCUCCCAAUUAUUUUGGAAUGGGCUUUCUGUUUAAGUGUUGAGUAAGUGUAGACUUUUUAAUUAAUUAAUUAAGAAAAAUGUAGACACGAAUAGACAUUUUGAAAAAUAAAUGUCAUUGCUGCUCUGAAAUAUGUUUUGUAUGUGAGUAUUUGUAUUUUAUUGUUGAAAUAACGUUCUGGGAAAAUAAAGUUGUACUAAUGAAAUGAA